UGCACACCAGCGUUCUGUUUAGGUUAGAGUUUCUUCGGUUCCGCUUCACAUCUCUUCGUGUUGCUGUGAUAUUUUCUCUUUUAACUUCCUGAAUCUGUAACGUAUCAUAAACCCUAGAUUCUAUUCUCUGUUCGUGGGUAUUCCCAAUCAAGGUUUUCUCCGUGUUAAUUUUGCCUGCAUCUCAUAAUAAAAAAUAAAAUAAAUGCUCUCAUCCUGCAUUAAUUGGAUCAGGUCUAUAAAAUGGCUAAUGCGAAUCGAAAUAAACAUCAGUUCCAGUCGAACAUGCAACAGGCAGACUACAGCUUCAAGAGUUUACGAGCCUCGUCAUCAAUCAUACAAUCCUUCAAGAGAGUUUAAUGCGUUUGUUUGAUGAGCAUUAAUUUUUUAGAUUUGGACCUACCAGGUAUUGAAUAUUGGUGAACACUCUUGGAGAGGACAAACGAUGCUUCUAGAGAUAGUAUGGUACCUACUCUGUUUUAAUCACUAGGCACAAGUUCACAUUUUUAAAGUUCAAAGAUUUCUUUCUCAAGAAUCAUCAACAAGUGUUUAAUAGGCACUACGCCAGAUUUGGGUCUAUUUGACAGGCGUCAUCCGAGAAAUUUGACAGGGCUGGCAUAUCAAUUCAUUUUUGAUGGGCCAAAGCCAUCGAAUUCAUACAAUGUAAUAAAAGUGAAAAGAAACCUAGAUUUUAUUUCUCUUCUCGCUUGUCCUUGUUCUCUCUUCUAAGGUUUCGAUAUAUUUAACAUAGUAUACGAGUCCACCUUUGAGAUCUACAGAUCGAGAUUUGUUACUAGAGAUGCUUUUGAUCAGUAUAUUUUUCGAUUUGAAGGAAAUAAGAUGAAGCUGGAAUUUCGAUUUCGAUAAUAAGUGAUCUGAUUCAUCUCUAUUUAUGGUGUAUUUUGGUAUCUGCUCAGGAUUCGGAUAAACUGUAUUCCUGCUCUCAAGUCAGAUUAUCUCAGUAGACAGCAGAGUUCAACGCAUCUGUUGAUAAUCAUCAUGAUGAAGUCACUUGAAAGUUCCAUGAAGUGGCAAGGUUGACACCUGAAGAAGGAAUCUCAUCUGUAGAUUGUUAUGUGAUGUUGACCAGACAUUAGGUAUUGGAGGGGAAGAUCAAAUGAAAGAAGCUUUAUUCUGGUUGAUGAAAGAGGGAGAGAGGAAGCUAUUGAGGUCAUAGUAGUCAGAUUGUUUAUUUUCUAUGAACAAGUUCUUCUAUUAUAGAAAUCUCCAGAAUGGUAGUUGUUUGCUUAACAUAUUCAAUUACAAAGGAAGAACUAGUUAGGUAAUUUUGAAAGAAUUCAACAUAGACGUUUAUGAGGGUUAGUGAUUGAGUUCCAUUUAGUUGAUUUCCAUGACGGGCCAGAAUAGUGAUUAAAUUUUUUCUAGGCAUGUUUCUGCUUCCAACUUCUUUGUUGUUAUGUUGUAUCUCAUAUGUCAUAGAUUAGCAAAUUGGUAAAUGAUACUUGGUUACGGUUGCUCUGAAUUUUUGGUUUGUGACUACUAUUGUAUAAAUAUAAAAGAGUAUGCAAGUUCCAAUCUAACUGUUCACCUGAUGUUGUGGCAUGAUCUGCUGCGUGGCUGCGUAAAGGUCUCUCUUGUGCCCGUAGAAGAUAUAGUGAUGAUCGCCCGUCAUUUGAAAACCAAGAGACAUUGAGGGCUUUGCUUUGCGGGACGCUUCAUAUCCUGGUGAAGAAAUUCACGAGUUAGCAUCUAAACAAUGGAAGGGCAUGGGCUGGCAAUGAAAAGACCCAUCUACAGACUUCAGAUAUGUUCUGUUUUACCUUGUUUGCUUAUAGAUGUGUCGUGUCUUCAAUGUUAUUAUAUACUGAAUCUGUGAAUGGUUGUUUCCUUUCAUAAAGGGUGGUGGUUUCAUAUCAUUGAAGAAUUUAUUGUUCUUUGCAAGGUCAUACAAGGAAAGAAGAUAUAGUACCCGAAGAAAGGAACGGUUUGGAGAGUCAGGUCAGGCUUGUUAUUUUUAGAGACGGCGCAGAUGUGGAGGCCAUGAAGAAGGAAACCAGCUUGCAGUGUAAGAGUUUUUUCUUCAAAAGCAAUUGCCCAUGGUUUCAGAGUUCGCAAUAAACCAUACCAGUGCCACUGUUGUUUUUGUGCUGGUAGCCUUUUUCUUUUCUUUUUUCUUUUUUUUUUCUUGAUGUUGUUGCAUGUUGUCUUCUUGCAUGUUGUCUUCUUGCAUGUUGUUUGGACAAAGAAUUCUUACGAGAUUGAACUUUUACAAUAUAUGUCAAUUUAUUUUGAAGUUAA